rnacentral:rRNA from 1 species
GACGAACGCUGGCGGCGUGCUUAACACAUGCAAGUCGAACGAUGAAGCAAAGAAUUGAAGCUUCGGCAGAAAUUCAUUUCGGACUAGUGGCAGACGGGUGAGUAACGCGUGAGCAACCUACCUCUUACAAAGGGAUUGCCUCGGGAAACCGGGAUUAAUACCAUAUAACAUUGCGACGAAGCAUUUCGAUGCAAUCAAAGCUACGGCGGUAAGAGAUGGGCUCGCGUCCCAUUAACCAGAUGGUGAGGUAACGGCUCACCAUAGUAACGAUGGGUAACCGGGCUGAGAGGGUGAACGGUCACACUGGAACUGAGACACGGUCCAGACUCCUACGGGAGGCAGCAGUGGGGAAUAUUGCACAAUGGAGGGAACUCUGAUGCAGCGACGCCGCGUGAGUGAUGAAGGAAUUCGUUUCGUAAAACUCUGUUCUAUGGGAAGAAAAGGACUGUACCAUAGGAGAAAGCUCCGGCUAAAUACGUG